rnacentral:rRNA from 1 species
ACGCUCGACACCUACGGGAGACAGCAGUGGGGAAUAUUGCACAAUGGGGGAAACCCUGAUGCAGCGACGCCGCGUGGAGGAAGAAGGUCUUCGGAUUGUAAACUCCUGUUGUUGGGGAAAAAGAGGAUGGUACCCAACAAGGAAGUGACGGCUAACUACGUGCCACCAGCCGCGGUAAUCUGAGCGGGCUGGCAAGGC